rnacentral:rRNA from 1 species
AUUGAACGCUGGCGGCAUGCUUUACACAUGCAAGUCGAACGGUAACAGGCCUUCGGGUGCUGACGAGUGGCGAACGGGUGAGUAAUGCAUCGGAACGUACCCAGAGGUGGGGGAUAACGCAGCGAAAGCUGUGCUAAUACCGCAUGUGAUCUGAGGAUGAAAGCGGGGGACCGAGCAGCAAUGUUUGGCCUCGCGCCUUUGGAGCGGCCGAUGUCGGAUCAGCUAGUUGGUGGGGUAAAGGCCUACCAAGGCGACGAUCCGUAGCUGGUCUGAGAGGACGACCAGCCACACUGGGACUGAGACACGGCCCAGACUCCUACGGGAGGCAGCAGUGGGGAAUUUUGGACAAUGGGCGCAAGCCUGAUCCAGCAAUGCCGCGUGCGGGAAGAAGGCCUUCGGGUUGUAAACCGCUUUUGGCAGGAACGAAACGGUGUCCGCUAAUACCGGGCGCUAAUGACGGUACCUGCAGAAUAAGCACCGGCUAACUACGUG